rnacentral:misc_RNA from 1 species
GAUGAAGAACGUAGCGAAAUGCGAUAAGUAAUGUGAAUUGCAGAAUUCAGUGAAUCAUCGAGUCUUUGAACGCACAUUGCGCCCCCUGGUAUUCCGGGGGGCAUGCCUGUCCGAGCGUCAUUGCCGCCCUCAAGCACGGCUUGUGUGUUGGGCCCCCGCCCCCCGGCUUCGGGGGGCGGGCCCGAAAGGCAGCGGCGGCACCGCGUCCGGUCCUCGAGCGUAUGGGACUUCGUCACCCGCUCUGUAGGCCCGGCCGGCGCCCGCCGGCGACCCCAAUCAAUCUUUCCAGGUUGACCUCGGAUCAGGUAGGGAUACCCGCUGAACUUAAGCAUAUCAAUAAGCGGAGGA